rnacentral:rRNA from 1 species
UACAGAGGGUGCAAGCGUUGUCCGGAAUCACUGGGCGUAAAGGGCGCGUAGGCGGCUCGGUAAGUAGGGGGUGAAAUCUCAUGGCUCAACUGUGAGGCUGCCUUCUAGACUGCCGGGCUUGAGCACAGUAGAGGCUGGUGGAAUUCCCGGUGUAGCGGUGGAAUGCGUAGAGAUCGGGAAGAACAUCUGUGGCGAAGGCGGCCAGCUGGGCUGUUGCUGACGCUGAUGCGCGACAGCGUGGGGAGCAAACAGG